UCUCUCCCUCCUCCACCUCACCACUGCUGGAUCGUUCCUCCAUGAGGCUUGUGCAGGCGCAAGGAACGCAGCGGCGGCCUCCCUAUACCCUCGGGUCACAGCUGCUAUCCUUGGUACAAUGGCUUCGUCGGCCAAAUCCGGUGCCUUGGUGGCCGGAUCCGGUGUUUCUAAGGUUGGAUCUGCACGGUGCUUUUUCGGCAGGGCGCAACGGCAGCAGUGGAGGCGCGAUGGGCCGCAGGCCACCGGUCAGUCUCCAUCGUCGCUGAAAAAUAAUAUCCAGUAUGCAAGUCCUUACCGGGUGUAGGAGGCUACGGGCAGUGCCGCCAUUUUCAAGGGCGUUUGGAAGAGCAUUAGCUGGGAGCUUCCAUCGCAUGAGUGGGGAGCAGCACGGCACGGGUGUGAGCGCAUGCACUGGCGCAAGUGAAAUUAAAUUGGAGGAGGUUGCUAUUCUGAAUUACGCUUACACAAAGCUCUUCGACUUCAUCUCAAGGUGGAAUAUGGGUGUUGCUGAACAAUGUGAAACCAUAUUUUAUCUUGGAAUUUGACAGAAUGGAAAUUGGCUUUGCUGAUAGUCUCUUCGGAUUGUUUAGCUAGGUGAACAUACCUUAUUGUACGAACAACAGUCAUUUACUGAUCCGCUAACGCUCUUGUCAUAUCGAAGUAUAAAUAAUCUUUAUCAGGUUUAUCAAA